GCGCAUGCAGGCGGCCUGUUAAGUCAGAUGUGAAAGCCCGGGGCGUUAACCUCGGAAUUGCAUUUGAAACUGGCAGGCUAGAGUCUUGUAGAGGGGGGUAGGAAUUUCAGGUGUAGCGGUGAAAUGCGUAGAGAUCUGAAGGAAUACCAGUGGCGAAGGCGGCCCCCUCGGACAAAGACUGACGCUCAGAUGCGAAAGCGUGGGGAGCAAACAGGAUUAGAUACCCUGGUAG
rnacentral:rRNA from 1 species